rnacentral:rRNA from 1 species
CCAUUAGCUUGUUGGUGAGGUAACGGCUCACCAAGGCUACAAUGGGUAGCCGGCCUGAGAGGGUGUACGGCCACACUGGGACUGAGAUACGGCCCAGACUCCUACGGGAGGCAGCAGUUAGGAAUUUUGCGCAAUGGACGAAAGUCUGACGCAGCGACACCGCGUGGAGGAUGAAGACCUUAGGGUUGUAAACUCCUUUUUAGCGGCCAUGAAGGCACUAGAAUAAGUAGCUACUAACUACGUGCCAGCAGUCGCGGUAAUACGUAGGCUACGAGCGUUACCCGGAUUUAUUGGGCGUAAAGGGUCUGUAGACGGUUUUCCAAGUCUGGUUUCAAAGCCCCCGACUCAAUCGGGGAAAGGGGUCAGAUACUGGGAUACUAGAGUCAUAUCGGGGUUACUGGAAUUUUUGGUGUAGGGGUUAAAUCCGUGGAUACCAAAAAGAACACCAAGCGCGAAGGCGGUAACUAGGUAUGUACUGACGUUCAGAGACGAAAGCUAGGGUAGCAAAUCAGAUUAGAGACCUGAGUAGUCCUAGCUGUAAACAUUGUCCGUUAGUUCUUCUCAAUUUAUUGGGAGGGAUGUUAGCUAACGCGUUAAACGGAUCGCCUGGGGAGUAUAGCCGCAAGCGAAAACUUAAACGAAUUGGCGGGGAGGCGCACAACCAG